rnacentral:rRNA from 1 species
AACGAACGCUGGCGGCAUGCCUAACACAUGCAAGUCGAACGAGACCUUCGGGCCUAGUGGCGCACGGGUGCGUAACGCGUGGGAACCUGCCCUUAGGUUCGGAAUAACUCCCCGAAAGGGGUGCUAAUACCGGAUAAUGUCUUCGGACCAAAGAUUUAUCGCCUUUGGAUGGGCCCGCGUUGGAUUAGCUAGUUGGUAGGGUAAAAGCCUACCAAGGCGACGAUCCAUAGCUGGUCUGAGAGGAUGAUCAGCCACACUGGGACUGAGACACGGCCCAGACUCCUACGGGAGGCAGGAGUGGGGAAUAUUGGACAAUGGGCGAAAGCCUGAUCCAGCAAUGCCGCGUGAGUGAUGAAGGCCUUAGGGUUGUAAAGCUCUUUUACCCGGGAUGAUAAUGACAGUACCGGGAGAAUAAGCUCCGGCUAACUCCGUG